CCGAGGCCCCCGUUUUCCCCGGGGCGAUCCCACCCCACCUCGAGGCAUCGGGCGCCGCUUCCCCGACCGUCCUCUGCUGCGAGGGACGCAACGGGGAAAAGGGGGCAGCGCCGCCGCCGCCCUCCGGCUUCCGGCCUCCGGCUCCAUGACCUGCCGCCCCUCCUCCGCAUCCGGGCGCCGACACCUCUGCCCCUUCAUUCCCGUCGGUCACUCCACAUCCGCCGCCCCUCCGCCCCUCGGCCUCCCCGUCGCUGCAACCGCUCAGCCUCCCCGUCGAUCUGCAGCCGCGCCUCUAGCUGCACAUAUCUCGGCCAUUACUCUUCUCCAAGAACCACUCCUUGUUCAUCUUUUUGCUGGUUACUCUUGACCUAGGUCCUCUCUUUAUGUGAUCAUCCAGCUCUCUUGGACAAAAGCGAAACUCAUGCUCUAUACAGUUCAGAUGCUAUAGAGAGAGCAUGGAAUUCUGGACAAUAUACCAGGAAGAGCGAUGGGAGCCUAUAACCAUAGUCAGGGUAUAAAAGGUUUGUGUGAUGUAAUUGCUGCUCGUGAUGGGUUUCAUGCCAGCGGAGACAACAUCUUCCUAACAGACGGAGCAAGCCCAGCAGUAUGUAAUCCAUGUCUUCUUUGAUCAGCUGUAUUCUGCAUCGAUUGCUCUUCAUGGUGGUUCCCUUAUCUUGUUGACUUCAAGGUCGUCAUCUCCAAGAUCCAGUUCUUUGUCUGAGAUCACGCACAGCAGUCAACUGUGAAGUGACAAGGACAAUGUGAAGCUUGUGAAGGUCCUGGGGAUGCCAAUAACAUUUGACCGUUGGUGUACUGAUUCUAUAGAAGUUCAAGGCCAAUGUGAAGCGGCAAGAACAAUGUGAAGCUUGUGAAAAGAGUUAAAAGUUAUAAAUUAUUGCUCUAGUGCCAUAGUAAUAUGUGAGAAUGGAGAUGACCUAUGAUAUGAUGAGGAAAGGAUUUGCUUAGUUGGAUAUUAUAUGUUACUUUAUUUAAACUUUUGCAUAGCUUUUGAGUUAAACGUUACAUAUUACUUUAUAUUACUUUCUUACGUAUGUGCUUUUUA